rnacentral:rRNA from 1 species
AUUGAACGCUGGCGGCAAGCCUUACACAUGCAAGUCGAGCGGUAACAUUUCUAGCUUGCUAGAAGAUGACGAGCGGCGGACGGGUGAGUAAAGCAUAGGAAUCUGGCCAAUAGAGGGGGAUAGCCCGGAGAAAUCCGGAUUAAUACCGCAUACCCUCUACGGAGAAAAAGCAGGGGAUCUUCGGACCUUGCGCUAUUGGAUGAGCCUAUGUCGGAUUAGUUAGUUGGUGGGGUAAAGGCCUACCAAGGCAGCGAUCCGUAGCUGGUCUUAGAGGAUGAUCAGCCACAUCGGGACUGAGACACGGCCCGAACUCCUACGGGAGGCAGCAGUGGGGAAUAUUGCACAAUGGGCGCAAGCCUGAUGCAGCUAUGCCGCGUGUGUGAAGAAGGCCUUAGGGUUGUAAAGCACUUUCAGUAGUGAGGAAAAGGGUUGCGUUAAUAGCGCAAUGCUGUGGCGUUAGCUACAGAAGAAGGACCGGCAAACUCCGUG